AUCUAUCUCUGUAAUUCAAGCAGUUCAUGAGCAAAGCAAAAUAGAAUUUUUGAUGAAAUUGCAACCUGAAUUUGAGAGUGUGCACUCUAACUUGAUGAAUCGAGACCCGUCUCCCUCUUUGGAUAUCUGUUUUAGGGAAUUACUUCGUGAAGUGUAACAUCUUUUCACACAAAAUGCUUUCAAGCAAGAAAACAUUCUGACUGCUGCAGUUGCUGCUCAAGGAAAAAGAAAGGUUAGGGAUAUGAGCAGAAUUUGAUGCUACAAUUGCAAACAAUAUGGCCAUAUUGUGAGUAAUUGAGGAACUAACAACCAAUUUGCUACUCUGGACAAGUUCUUACUCCUGAAAUGGUACAACAAAUGAUUGUGUCAGCCUUUUCAGCCGUAGGGCUACAAGCUUGUUGAUUAUGACGCUUCCAAUCAUAUGACCAACUCAACUAGUGAGCUGAAAAAUGUUCGAUUAAGUGUCGGAGAAGAUAAUCGCGAAGGAGCCUAAAGUUGGAAGAUUGUUUCCUAUACACUUUUCCAUUCCUCGUGUUCUAUCUUUUGUGUGUACUCCUACAACUAGUAGAUGAAGGUUUGGCGUAGGCGUCUAGGACAUCCUAAUUCUAUUGUGUUAUCUCAUUUAUCAAAUUUUGGUCUAUUAGGAAAUAAAAAUCAAUUUUUAGUUGCU